GGCAGAUCCAAAACCACAUUAGACAAAGAAUCCUAUCUCUAUUGAUCUUAAAACACACCUCUGGGUGACCUCAAAUGGAUGAGGAUCCGUUUGAGAAUAGGUCCAAGAGUGCAAUGUGACUGCUCUAGGUCUGCAGUCUAGAAAAUCUUUUGAAAAGAAAACUCUCAACUAUGAGAACAUCUGACAGUGUCCUUCCAUUAUUUUCCAGAGAUCUAUCCAGGCAUUCCUAGUUCUCAUGUGAGUCUGAAUCUCAGAAGAUACCUACUUAAAAUCCAUCCUGAGACAGAAAAUAAAUGUCUCCUAUUGCAGGUUUUCAGAAGCAGACCUUUCCAUGCCUCUCACUUGUCCAAUCAAGCCUGAUCCCUUUCCAACCUUGAUUUUGAGUGUGAAGAAACUUACCCACAGGGAUAGUCCUGCCCUGGAUUUUAUCAGCCCAUCCAGCAUAAUAUCGGAGUGUCUUUAUACAACCUUCCAGGUCAAUGAAAUAAGCCUGCAGAAAAGGUUUUCCCGUGUCCAUUGUUUCUAAAGUUGCCAGGAUGACUCUGUCUCGCUCUAGAAGAUCAGCCAGUUUGUGUAGGAGCCGUCCCCUGCUUAAGGCAUCCAUUUGUCUCCACUGAGACCCUCUCUGGAAUGCUGCCUUUGCUGCUUCCACUGCAUUAUCCACAUCAGGCUUGUCUCCUUCCUCAAUAUCACAGAUUUUCUCUAGCGUCGAGGGAUUGUAGGUAGGGAACUUCUUUCCACUGGUAGACUCGUGCCAUUCAUUGUUUAUAAAUAUCUUGGUGUACUUCACCUCCAAACCCCUCAGAGGCCGUGGCAGCGGCGGCCCCUUCUUGUCAGGCGGCCCGUUCUCCACAGCACCGUUGACCGCGGCCAUACCCACCCCGUCGAGCCCAGACCCCA
rnacentral:lncRNA from 1 species